ensembl:lncRNA
AUGCGCAGAGUAGUGAAAAAGUUGAGUUGCCUGGCGUGCGCAUGCCCAGCUGACGUGGACCAAGGCGCGGGGAGACGCAGCCUUCCUGUUUUAGCUCUUGUUCUGUAAAUGAGUGUUCUUUCCGUGGUUUUUUGGGGUGACGUGUUCAGCAUUUUGGGGCUGUUUGAUGAUUCGCUGAUUGGUAUGGACCCGAAGGGCAGUACUGAAGUGCCAACUGGUGUUCCCGAGUGUGAGAACGCUGUGAUGCGCCCGCAGAGGAAAGUCCUGUGUAGAUCUCAGCUGAAAUGCCAGCUCCUGAUAGAAAGCAUUCCCACUCAAUGCCUUCCUUCAAAAGGAGUAUAUUGAGAAGGAAGCUGUGAACCUUUUACAAUGGAAGUAGGGAUUAUGGGAAAGCACAGGAGGAUAAGAAAGGAGUGCAGAUCCCAAGAUUUUGUGCACAGUGUUAGAAAUAUUACCCUCUGAAUUUGAAGCAAUGGAAGUUAACAUCAAAUGGGAGAGUUAACAUCACCUGGAAGAAAUUAGCCAUCUGAAGCGUCUAGAUACCCCUGGAUGAACAAAUUAAAUUGACUUUCCAGUAUGACAAGAGUCGAGGACCUGAUCCAGACUUGUCUGCGCCAGUGGGUCCACACUCGGUGAACAGCCUAUCAGAUUGCUUCUCAUCAGUUUAAACUACAAUUGUCAUGGAAUGAUAAUCAUUAUGAGUAAACUGUCUUUUCAUUUCCCAGGUAGCUCAGAAUUAUGAUCAAAUAAUGUUCUCUUUUUGGCAGACUACUUCACUAGAUGAUACAUAGGAAUUUCUUGCUAGAUGUACAUUUCUAGGUGCAUGAUUAAUCUUUCCUUGAUGUUUUUAAUAUCAUUAUUGCUGAUGUGAAAUCUGUAUGGUUUUAUUUAUUUUGAGGCAUUCUCGGUAAUGUUAUCACUGAGAGGAAUAGAUUUAAUAAACUGUUCAUUAUCUCAUGACAUGUGAGAUGGAGUGAAAACAUAGGUAAAAUUGGAUCACAUUUAAGGCUACCUCUGAAAGCAAUACUAAGAUUAUAUUCCUGUGGAAAAAUGGAAGGUGUUUGCAAAUAUCUUGUUUUUCUAUAAAUAGCACUGCAGUUUGCUGGAAAGAUCUCAAAAGCACAAAAUAGAUUAGUUCACUGUUGAAGAAUUUAACUAAAUUUAACUAAAACGACACAUAAAUAUCUGGGAAGGAAAUGUGAAUUUGGUUCAAGGAGAAUGAAGACAGACAAAAGAAUCCUGCAAAGGAUAGCUCCGAUAAUAACAACAGUGCAAAUAAAUGAAAGGAAAUAAGCAGAGUCAGGUCGAAAAGGUUUAGGAAUUUAAGUGAGUUGUUUCCAAAAAGAAUGCUAUGUAAGUGAGCAAGCAAAGGUUCCAGCUGUCCUCGUAGAUUCCAGUUUGUCCUAGUCAGUUUCCGUUGACAUUAUGAGUCUGCUCUUCCCCCAACAUCCUCCCUGGUCGCUUAUCUGGCUGAUCUGCAAUGACUUCCGGCUGAAUUCUAGACCCAGAGCCAACAGCGCCACAAAUUACUCCAUCAGCUCCCACAAUUGCGUAAAGCCAAACUCCUAUAAUAAUUCCUUCAUUCCACAUCGCAUAGCAGUUCUGCUUAUUUCAUGGCGUCCUUACGGAUACUGCCAAAACGGAAACAAAAUUCUAGAGAAUAUUCAUUGAAACGGAAUUGAUGAGUGAAAGUUUAGUUUGUAUUUUGACAGACACAGCCAAAAUAUCUUCCCUGCAUGCUGCACCAAAACGCAAACACAAACACAAAGCCUUUUGUGAGGACAGUUUUGGAAAAAAUGGUAGAACCUCAUUCAGUGCAGGUAUUGUGUGCUGAUAAGAAGGAUAAAUAAUUCUUGCUAGUUAGUUUUCUAGAAUUCCCUAAUUCCUGUCAAUCAUUUUUUAAAACUUUUUCUAACCUGUGGAAUAUGGAAAUUAGAAACAUAAUAAAAAUAUUUUAUUUUCUUCAUUUAGGGUCUCUUGGCUUUUUAUUUUCCUUAGGAAGUUCUUCCCUAUUCCAAAAGUAUAAAACAGUCUCAGCAUCCUGAGUAAUGUUUGAAUCUGUGAUUCAGGUCAUUUGUUUGCUGAUUACCUUCCAGUUGUGCUUAAAAUAGCAACAACCCUCUUUGCCAUGCCACAGAAAGGUCUGCAUGCUUUCAAUGCUGUCUUAUCCAUUUUAUUUCAGGCCUUCCUCAGUCAUACACUGACAUUCUCUUGGUUCCUUUGAUAUUCUAAAUUCUUUUCUUGCCUGUUUUUUAUUUAUAUAAAGUGAUCCAGAGUAUUCUUCUAUUAUAUCUUAAUUACUAUUUUAUCUAAAGUUUGUCGAAUUUUUAAAAAUUCCUAAUAUUUUCUUACUGGAGUUUUUCUUGCUAAGCCUAUCCUUGGCAUUAUAGGGUCCCUCCUCAUGGGUCUCCAGUUUCUCUUCAAUCAAUAGACUUAGAUAUGAAAAUAAGAAUAGGAAUAAUGAUUUUCCAGUAUAACAGCUGAUAGCAUUGUUCAGCGCACCCAUUACUGAUCCCUCUGCUUUUAUGAGCCAGGAGAUAUCCUCAUUGGCUGCCUACACAUUUUGCUCCUGGGAAACAGUCAUAUAUUAGUCAUUACCAAAGUUGCCUACAGGCCAUGAAAUUUACCAUUUUUGGCCUUGCUGUUCCGAUAGUUAAGUACCACUACCUGGCCUCUGCUACUCCAGAGUCCUAACACCCCAUUGAAAGAAAGGGACUGCUUCCACAGAAGCAUGUCCUAUCUGGUCUGUGGAAGACAGCCCUACGGAGAGUCUCAAGAACACUGACAUUCUCCUUACUGGUGCAUGUGAUAUCAUGUUAGUGAAAAGAAUAUCUUCUGGGUCAUGGUCUUAUAUAACUAACCUACUCUCGUAUGCCCACUUGUUGAGUCCUCUGGCCCCGUUCUUCAUACUCUGCCAAGGCAGUUACCACUCUACUUCGUUCUCUACAGUACAUCAUCAUCUCUCAAUUUAGAUAUCAUAUUAGGACCACCUUCAGGUGUCCUGCCAAGAUGUCAAAUUCAAAGAGUGACAAUCAGUAAACUCCUCUCACCAGCCUUCUAUUUCACCCUCCUUGGUUCGGCACCCUCGAGAUUCAUGCCAACAUAUGUUCUCUUGGUUCCUGCUGGUAGAUAUAUGCCAGGCUCAGCAGCUGUCUUAAGUUAAGAUUCCAUUUCUGCUUGUUGCAGGAUCCUCAGUUAGGCCAUGCUGAACACCAACAGUAGUGGUUGGCCUGGAAACAAGGAAAGGAAGGAGAGGCACUCUUGAUGUGGAUAAGCAUUAUCUUUUGAGGCGUUCAUCUCAAGUGAGGUCUUUGCUUUAUCUCCAGCCAGUGGUGGUAGUGGGCAGUAGUCUCCUUUGGUAAGAGAAGGGGAUACUCUUGCCAGCCUGGAGGCGUUAGGCAUAUCUGCAGAGUUUAAGCUACUCACAUAAAUCCAUGCAAAUAUUCCUAUUCUAGUCUCCAGGACAUCUGUCCUUCACUACUUCACUAUUAAGGGCCUGAUUUUAGCAUAAGCAAUUGUCAGGGUGUGAAUGUCUCCUAUGCAAUUUCCUCACUCUUGUAAUUAACCUUUCAGCUUUAUUUUAGUACAAUCUGUGCUACAGCUGCAGGAGAUCGGAUCUCUUUAAAUGCUGCCGUGGAGGUCUUUUGGCUUUCAUAGUGUAUCUGGAGUUAAUUGCUGGCUGAAGCUGAACAUUAAACAUUGUCGUCUUUUGUUGUUCUUAUUUUUAAAAAGCGGUUAAAAAAGAGAACUGGCCCCACAGUCGUUUUAGCUGCUGUUGGCACCCGUGUUUUUCAAGUGGGAGAACUAGCACAUGCCUCUCCUUUUCCUUGGACCUCGUCGUAAAGUGCCUCUGAUGAGAGUGCUGGAAGAGACAAAGGAUGGAACAGUCUCCGCGGCUGCAAAUGCCAUCUGGGAUAGAAUAAGAAGAUGUAGUUAUCAUAAAAGAAGACCAUGUGCAAAUUAAGCAACAUUCAGAACAUUCAUUAAUUCGUCUUUGUUUAGUGUAUAAGAUCAUAUGAUUAAAAUCUGGAGCUUUUACUAGUCAAUCUAGUUUUAAUUUUUGUGUUAUAUUUUAUGUGUGAAUAUUAGAGAACAAUGCCAUAUAUGACUAAAGUAGUUAAAAUAGUUUUUUUCCUACCAACCUAACAGUUUCCUUCAGAAAUGUAUUUAUGAGUCUUAGUGACUCAUAAUAGGAUUUAUGAGUCACUAAGGACUUUAGUGAGUAUUUCAAAUAGUUGGCGACCUUAAUCAAAGUUAGAACAUGAAUACGGUUAAGGUUAACAAAGAUCACCUGAAAGCACAAACAUUUACAGUUUUGUUUUUAUUGAAAUAAAUUAAAUUUGAAUAAUCGAUUUGCUUUGGUUUCCUAUGUAUUUACAACAGCAAUGUAAUUCUGAAUCCGAG